CCUACGGGAGACAGCAGUGGGGAAUAUUGCACAAUGGGGGAAACCCUGAUGCAGCGACGCCGCGUGAGUGAAGAAGUAAUUCGUUAUGUAAAGCUCUAUCAGCAGGGAAGAAAAUGACGGUACCUGAGUAAGAAGCCCCGUCUAACUACGUGCCAGCAGCCGCGGUAAUACGUAGGGGGCAAGCGUUAGCCGGAUUUACUGGGUGUAAAGGGAGCGUAGACGGCAGUGCAAGGCUGGAGUGAAAGGCGGGGGCGCAACCCCCGGAAUGCUCUGGAAACUGUACGGCUGGAGUGCAGGAGAGGUAAGUGGAAUUCCUAGUGUAGCGGUGAAAUGCGUAGAUAUUAGGAGGAACACCAGUGGCGAAGGCGGCUUACUGGACUGUAACUGACGUUGAGGCUCGAAAGCGUGGGGAGCAAACAGGAUUAGAUACCCCUGUAGUC
rnacentral:rRNA from 1 species